rnacentral:rRNA from 1 species
GAUGAACGCUGGCGGCGUGCCUAAUACAUGCAAGUCGAGCGAACGGACGAGAAGCUUGCUUCUCUGAUGUUAGCGGCGGACGGGUGAGUAACACGUGGAUAACCUACCUAUAAGACUGGGAUAACUUCGGGAAACCGGAGCUAAUACCGGAUAAUAUUUUGAACCGCAUGGUUCAAAAGUGAAAGACGGUCUUGCUGUCACUUAUAGAUGGAUCAGCGCUGCAUUAGCUAGUUGGUAAGGUAACGGCUUACCAAGGCAACGAUGCAUAGCCGACCUGAGAGGGUGAUCGGCCACACUGUAACUGAGACACGGUCCAGACUCCUACGGGAGGCAGCAGUAGGGAAUCUUCCGCAAUGGGCGAAAGCCUGACGGAGCAACGCCGCGUGAGUGAUGAAGGUCUUCGGAUCGUAAAACUCUGUUAUUAGGGAAGAACAUAUGCGUAAGUAACUGUGCACAUCUUGACGGUACCUAAUCAGAAAGCCACGGCUAACUACGUG